rnacentral:rRNA from 1 species
AGAGUUUGAUCCUGGCUCAGGAUGAACGCUAGCGGCAGGCUUAACACAUGCAAGUCGAGGGGCAGCGGGGAGGAAGCUUGCUUUCUCCGCCGGCGACCGGCGCACGGGUGAGUAACACGUAUGCAACCUGCCCCUGUCAGGGGGACAACCCGCCGAAAGGCGGGCUAAACCCGCGUACAUGCCACCGGGGCAUCCCGGAGGCAGGAAAGGCUUCGGCCGGACAGGGAUGGGCAUGCGGCGCAUUAGGCAGUAGGCGGGGUAACGGCCCACCUAACCGACGAUGCGUAGGGGUUCUGAGAGGAAGGUCCCCCACACUGGUACUGAGACACGGACCAGACUCCUACGGGAGGCAGCAGUGAGGAAUAUUGGUCAAUGGUCGGGAGACUGAACCAGCCAAGCCGCGUGAGGGAGGAAGGUACAGAGUAUCGUAAACCUCUUUUGUCAGGGAACAAAGGCGGGGACGUGUCCCCGGAUGAGUGUACCUGAAGAANAAGCAUCGGCUAACUCCGUGCCAGCAGCCGCGGUAAUACGGAGGAUGCGAGCGUUAUCCGGAUUUAUUGGGUUUAAAGGGUGCGCAGGCGGUCUGUUAAGUCAGCGGUCAAAGCCCGGGGCUCAACCCCGGCCCG